rnacentral:rRNA from 1 species
UACGAAGGGGGCUAGCGUUGUUCGGAAUCACUGGGCGUAAAGGGCGCGUAGGCGGCUAUGCAAGUCGGGCGUGAAAUCCCACGGCUCAACCGUGGAAGUGCACUCGAAACUGCGUAGCUAGAGUCCUGGAGAGGAAGGUGGAAUACUUGGUGUAGAGGUGAAAUUCGUAGAUAUCAAGUGGAACACCGGUGGCGAAGGCGGCCUUCUGGACAGUGACUGACGCUGAGACGCGAAAGCGUGGGGAGCAAACAGG